GUUUUUUCUUUAGGUGCUUGUUUUAUGUGAUAACUGAUAACCUGUUAUGUUUUUGUUCACCUAUAGGGUGUAGAGAAGCUGGUAACAUCAAAGAUGAUUCCGAAGGGGUCCAAUGGAGAAUUCACUUGGUUCACCAAAACUCUGGCCUGGAUCAGGCCUUUUGGUUGUGAGUUGCUCUUGGAGGUUAUCUGGGAUGGGCCACAGCUCUACAUGAUCCAGUCUUCAGGCUGUUUUAUAAUCUAAGGUGUACAUGACGAAGCCAUGGACAAAGCUUUUGAGAGCUGGAGCGGGUGUGUGAAGUGUGAUGAAAUCAAACCGUCAGCGCCAGAAGCCCAGAAGGUCCCGGCAGACCUUCCGAAGCAGAUGAAAGCAGCUGCGCAGGCGGCGCUGGAGGAGAUGGCGGCAAGCCCGCGACAGAAACUUUUAGACGUGUGUUGUUUGCAAGGAAUCGUCGACACCAUAGACCAUUGUAGUACCAUACAAUGCUGCAAGUAUCGAAAACAAAAAUAGUACGCCAUACAGUCUCCUGACCGACAGGACGAGUUCGUCAGUUUCAUUUCAUGGACGCAGAAGUGGCUCAGAACACGGCUGCCUCGUGCUCUUUUGCCUUUGGGGUUCAGGUGAGUGGCGCUCCUGCCGGCAGUUUGACGCGCCAUGAGGCCUACUCCAGUGGCUGAGGUUGAAUAUAAGCUGCUUAUAUAAUAUUUUCUCAUAUUUUAAUAGGAGGGAGAAGAGCUAUCAUUUGAUCAAUUGAUAAAGAGACAAUCUCGUACGUACUUCAAGAUUAUGUGGAAAUGACGUAUAGUCAUUUAUAACAUAUUAUAAGUUAUGUUCUAAGAAUCAGAUUAUUAGAA